rnacentral:lncRNA from 1 species
CAAGAACAAACCACACCUGGACCCGACCAAGAUCCCACCUUUCCCACAAAUCUGAUGCCGAGACCUCUGUCUCUUCACAGACUAAAGAUCAAAACCGAAGCUUGACAACGCAAUGCGUCUUCGCCCGGCGGGAGAGACCCAAAAAAGGCGAAAUCUUCACAAGAAGAAGACACGCUCCGUCGGACUCUCUAUCUCCCCAUCGUUCUGAGACGAGCUGCUGCUGCUGCCGCCGCCGCCGCUCUCCUCUCCCCUCCCGCAAUAAAAAGGGCACGACGACAAAUCCGAUCAAAAAC